rnacentral:rRNA from 1 species
UACGAAGGGGGCUAGCGUUGCUCGGAAUCACUGGGCGUAAAGGGCUCGUAGGCGGUUUGUCGCGUCGGGAGUGAAAUCCACUGGCUUAACUGGUGGCUUGCUUUCGAUACGGGCAGACUGGAGGUAUGCAGGGGAGAACGGAAUUCCUGGUGUAGCGGUGAAAUGCGCAGAUAUCAGGAAGAACACCAAUGGCGAAAGCAGCUCUCUGGGACGGUACUGACGCUGAGACGCGAAAGCGUGGGGAGCGAACAGG